GCCAGUGUGGUGUAGUGGUUUGAGCAUUAAUUUGCAACUCUAGAGGCCAGGGUUCAAAUCCCCACUCGGACA